CCGACGCCGACAACCUCCUCUCCCCCAACCCCACCGCCGGCGCCCCCACCUCACCAGCAGCCACUGCCAUGGACAGAGCCGCUGCCUCUCUUGGCGCCCGAAGCACUAGCUCAGGCCGUCGCGACCCACCCGCUGCAUCUCGCGUUCACGCGCGAGAUCCGCGUCCUGCGUUCAUGGCCAAGCGGGCGUCCACGCGCGGAUCCUCCUCCUCGCCGUGCCCUUGUGCUGGCCCCGAACCCUAGCUAGGGACCCCCUUCUCCGGGCGUGGCGCGGCGCGGGGAGGGCUCCCUCUUGCCCACCGCCGAUGCAGACGGCCCGCCGGAGGUCCUACUACUUGCUCCUCCGACCCUCCUGCUGCUGCUACUAGUGCGGAGCAGCGGGCCGGUUACUUGUCUUUUCUGUGUGCGCAGCGGCGGCUUAAUUUGUUUGUUUUUAGUUCAUCUCUGUUGUGUUCUGCCUGGAUUCGUGACUAGUAGUAGCGGUAAUUAGUACUCCACUUUCAGUUUCGAUCGAGCCUAGAUUGCAAGGCCGAUUUUCAUACUAGCACUCUCCAUGCAGCUCCUCAAUAAUUGUAGUCAAUUGGUUGGACAGUCUUGUUUUCAUCAUUUUUUUCUAGUUAUAUACGUAGUUGACUGGGAUUAUAAUGCUAUCUUUGCUUACUGUUAACUGUCCAAGUUGAUGUAGAAAGAUAAACAGUUGUUGAUCGCUUCCACGAUUGUCUGAUAGAAACGUCAAUUAGUAAGUGAAAAUAGACGUUUGCGCCUACUUGUAUUUUAUAGCAGUUUCUGGGACUGUGACAUGUUGGUCAUCCUUCUGUGAUUGGUUAUAUAUGUUAGGCCUGUGGAAAAGGACUGAAGAAUCCAUAGCAAGAACUGAGAGGCUAUAUAAUUUUGCACCUACAUAAGUAACUUGCCCCAAUUCUUUGGUACUGCCCUGAGUUUUCAGGGGCGUAUAUGUUGGGGAUUUCUUAUUUGCGUCCAUUCCUUAGUCGCCUUACGAGUUUGUCAUCUGUUCCACUUAAAAUGCCCACAACUUCUCUGAACUUUCCAAGACCACCUCCUUGUUGAUGUGUCUGCGCCAUAUGAUUGCAGAAAGCACCUGGGAUAUACUAAGCAGAGUGGUGCCUUAACAGCUUCUUGCAUUUUGUUGCACUUGCAUCUGAGCAAUUACACUAAAAUCUGGUUUCUCUGGUUGUGCUACUGACAUGUCUUUAUAUUUCUUGGCAGAUUAACAUAUUCAAGUCAAGAUGGUUAGGUUUGGGAAAAAGUUGACGGCCGGCCAAGUUCCAGAGUGGAGAGGUUACUAUAUAAACUACAAGCUGAUGAAGAAGAAAGUAAAACAAUAUGGGUAGCAGCUCCAACAGGGAGAGGAAGACCGUCGCCGUGUUCUCAAGGAUUUCUCAAAGAUGCUUGAUGAUCAGGUAGAAGAUAGCAACAGAGUGGGAAGGUUUGUGCAGAGAUCUUACCUGGAGGUUAUCACAGAUGCGCACAAUAUGACACUGAAUUGGCCAAAAAUAGGGAGCUACAAGAUGAACUUUUAAAGGUUAAGACCUCACUGUCUACUUCAAAGAAGAGAUUUGAAGAGUUGCAAAAGGUAAUUCUGGGGCAAAUUUCCAUUGCUGCAGGAUAAUGAGAUGUUGAAGCGGCAGACUGAAUCCAUGACACCGAAGUGCAAUUGCGGCAGAUUAUCUCUAUUUUUCCUUUUCAUUUUUCUUAUUAUUGGAGUGAGAACAGGUAGAAUGAGGAACUGUGUGAUAGUAGGUACAACAACUACGUUUGCAAUUGUUAAUGACAUACAUACUUGCAUGUUCUUUGAAGUGGUCAAUCGUGAGUACCAAUGCAUAAUGAUGGGGUUUUGGCUCAUU